rnacentral:rRNA from 1 species
GUGCGUGAGAGCAGCUUAACAUGCAGUCGAACGGUAACAGGGAGCUUGCUCCGCUGACGAGUGGCGAACGGGUGAGUAAUACAUCGGAACGUGCCCAGUAAUGGGGGAUAGCUCGGCGAAAGCCGGAUUAAUACCGCAUACGCCCUGAGGGGGAAAGUGGGGGACCGCAAGGCCUCACGUUAUUGGAGCGGCCGAUGGCUGAUUAGCUAGUUGGUAGGGUAAAGGCCUACCAAGGCGACGAUCAGUAGCUGGUCUGAGAGGACGAUCAGCCACACUGGGACUGAGACACGGCCCAGACUCCUACGGGAGGCAGCAGUGGGGAAUUUUGGACAAUGGGGGAAACCCUGAUCCAGCAAUGCCGCGUGUGCGAAGAAGGCCUUCGGGUUGUAAAGCACUUUUGUCAGGGAAGAAAUCCUUUGGGCUAAUACCCUAGGGGGAUGACGGUACCUGAAGAAUAAGCACCGGCUAACUACGUGCCAGCAGCCGCGGUAAUACGUAGGGUGCAAGCGUUAAUCGGAAUUACUGGGCGUAAAGCGUGCGCAGGCGGUUGUGUAAGACAGGUGUGAAAUCCCCGGGCUUAACCUGGGAAUUGCAUUUGUGACUGCACGAC